UCGGAAUUUGCCCAUUAGAAAACGUCUGCACAGGAAAACAGCAACAGGAUAUCGGAUCCCGUCUGCCUGAGUUUCUCCCGGGUGAUUCCGUCUCAGGCCCUCAAGGGGGCACAAGAGACACGGCCGGCCGGCUGGCGGAAGGAGAUCUGCAAAGUUCCCGCCUCCAGCGAAAGCGCUGCUGCUCUUCUGGCGGGGGAUUUGGCCAAAGCAGAGAAGUUCCGUGUUCUGCAAGAAAGGCAGAGGAGGAAAGCUGAGAAGGGGGCCACGUUGGGAUGCCAGUCCUACCCCCACCCGCCCACGUCAAAAAGUGGCCCUAAAAGAACCUGGAGCUGCCCUGGAGUUGCCUGCAAGACACUCACCCAGCACCUGAAAUGUGCAAAAAACCCUUCACAACCAUCUCCAAAGCGCACCACCAGCUGAGCAAGACUGGCUGAAGAGGAGCGCAGGCGGCAGAGAUUCCUACCUUGUGGUAGCGCACAGCAGUCUGAAGCACAACAGGGCCUGCAUGGAGCACCUCUAGAGAAGUCCCAAAGGAAGCCCGGCUUGGCCCGUAGCUCUUCCUGCGAAGAGAGGGAAAGAGGCGUGAGAAAGGAGGCAGCCAAAGGCCACGGCCUUCUGCUCUCCAUGGCUUCCAUGCAGCUGGACUCAGCCUGGCGUGUCGGCUCCCAGGUCUGCUGAACGCCAACAGAAGCACAGGCUUAGCUUGGCACCAUGCAAGAACGUCACACGCCCUGAAUAGGUGUGGAUCCCUGAGCCCCCAGAAAUGCUGUGGCAGGACGACCUUAAACUGCAUGAAAGUCAGGAGCCCAGCACCAGCCAGCACGAGCACAGCUCUGAGUCACCCACGUGGCAGAAGGCUGCAGUGGGGUUGGAGUGGGUGGCCAGAGGAAGGUGAGGCACGGGUGCCAACAGACCACAGCAGCACUGGAACCCCCCUCUGCCUGCAGGCAGCCUCCUGGAACAGCCACCUCCUGACCGCUGGCCAACUGACCGCCUGGAGCUACAACAGCCUCACUUUCACCUGGGGUCAGACAGCAGCUUGCGUUGGGCAAAGGGAACCAGAUCUCAAAAUUAAACCAAAAGAAUGACCCAC